UACGUAGGGUGCGAGCGUUGUCCGGAAUUACUGGGCGUAAAGGGCUUGUAGGUGGUUUGUCGCGUUGUUCGUGAAAACCGGAGGCUUAACCUUCGGCGUGCGGGCGAUACGGGCAGACUGGAGUACUGCAGGGGAGACUGGAAUUCCUGGUGUAGCGGUGGAAUGCGCAGAUAUCAGGAGGAACACCGGUGGCGAAGGCGGGUCUCUGGGCAGUAACUGACGCUGAGGAGCGAAAGCGUGGGGAGCGAACAGG
rnacentral:rRNA from 1 species